rnacentral:misc_RNA from 1 species
GCGGUUCUUCACCGCGGUCCGCACCACGGGAAUCUAUUGCCGGCCGGUGUGCCCGGCCCAGCCCAGAUCCGCCAACGUCUGCUACUUUCCAUCCGCGGCCGCAGCCGAGCAUGCAGGCUUCCGGCCUUGUCUUCGCUGCCGUCCCGAGACAGCACCUUUCAGUCCGGCGUGGGAAGGCACUCGCGCCACCGUCGGCAGGGCGCUGCGGCUGAUCA